UACGGAGGGUGCAAGCGUUGUCCGGAUUCACUGGGCUUAAAGGGUGCGUAGGUGGGCUGGUAAGUCAGUGGUGAAAUCUCCAGGCUUAACUUGGAAACUGCCAUUGAUACUAUCAGUCUUGAAUACCGUGGAGGUCAGCGGAAUAUGUCAUGUAGCGGUGAAAUGCUUAGAUAUGACAUAGAACACCAAUGGCGAAGGCAGCUGGCUACACGAAUAUUGACACUGAUGCACGAAAGCGUGGGGAGCAAACAGG
rnacentral:rRNA from 1 species